rnacentral:rRNA from 1 species
UACAAAGGGCAGCGAAACCGCGAGGUCAAGCAAAUCCCAUAAAGUUGUUCUCAGUUCGGAUUGUAGUCUGCAACUCGACUACAUGAAGCUGGAAUCGCUAGUAAUCGUAGAUCAGCAUGCUACGGUGAAUACGUUCCCGGGUCUUGUACACACCGCCCGUCACACCACGAGAGUUUGUAACACCCGAAGCCGGUGGAGUAACCUUUUAGGAGCUAGCCGUCGAAGGUGGGACAAAUGAUUGGGGUGAAGUCGUAACAAGGUAGCCGUAUCGGAAGGUGCGGCU